UACAGCCGGAUACAACUCUUUUUUACUUAAUUUUCACUCACUAUCUGUAACCGCUACAUUUUUAAAGUAAACAAAAGCUCAAAAUUGUGCUAAAUUCGAAACUUAUUCUUUUGUUUUUGUUUUUAAAAUGAUUUCCAACCUUAAAAUGCAAAAAAUGUUUAUUCCUUACAACCAUUUAAAAAAGUUUAGAGAUAAAAGUAUAGCAACUUCAGCUAAACAGUCUAUAUUUCAGACUAAAGUGUUAAAUUCUAGAUAUAAUCCAAUAAAUAUUCAAAUGUUAUCAUCUAGUUUGCACAAACAGAUCUUUGCUGGAAAGCCAGAAAUUAAUAUAGAUCCAAAAAGUAUAGAUAUAGCAAUAGCUCAUCUUCGCAAGCAUGGCUUGUGGGAUGCUGAAACAUCUACUUUACCAGAUGUUGACUUUAAAAUACCUAAAUUAUACAAGUCUGAUAUUCUGGAACAUUUUAAUUAUAUUGCACAACAGUUGGUUGGAGAUUACAAAAGCUUAUUAGAUGAGAUUCUAAAAAAGGAUUUGCCUCCAGUUCCUAAAAUUUGGCAACUUUCAGCCGGUUGGAUGCAAUACAGUGAAACAGGAGAAGCUAAAAGUGUAGAUUUUCCUGAAGAAAGUGCUUUAGUCUUUGAUGUUGAAGUUUGCAUGCAAGAAGGCAAUUAUCCUACUUUAGCUACAGCUGUAUCCCAUAAACACUGGUAUUUAUGGUGUAGUGAUAAGCUGGUUGAAGACAAUUAUGCAUUUUCAACAAACAUUUCUCUUCCUGAUCUCAUUCCUAUGGAAACAAAAAAAGGAGAAAAUAAACCUUCACAAAUGAACUGUAUCCCGAAAAUAGUUAUUGGACAUAAUGUUGCUUUUGAUAGAACUUUUAUCAAAGAACAAUACUUUUUAGAAAGAACCCAAAUGACAUUUUUAGACACUAUGUCACUUCAUAUGUGUGUCUCUGGAUUGACUGGAUUACAACGAGCCAUGUCAUUGGCUUCAAAAAAGAAAAGUUCCGAAAAUCAAUCUCAUGGAUUUCUGGAUUUAUCAUUGGGUUGGUCUUAUAUUAGCUCUUUAAAUAACCUAGCUGAUGUUUACAAUUUAUAUUGCGAAGGAAGCCUUAGCAAAUCAGAACGAGAAAUUUUUAUAUCUGGGUCUUUAACUGAUGUUAGAGAAAACUUUCAGGAGUUGGCAACUUACUGUGCUCAUGAUUCUCUUGCCACAUUCCAGAUUUUAAAAAAACUAUACCCUUUAUUUCAAGAACGGUUUCCUCAUCCUGUAACAUUAUGUGGCCUCCUAGAAAUGGCAUCUGCUUAUUUACCUGUCAAUCAUAACUGGGACCGAUACCUGAAUGAAACACAGUCUACUUAUGAAGACAUGCAAAAAGAACUUAAACUUUCUCUUGUUCAUUUAGCCAAUGAUGCUUGCUCUCUUCUUCAUGACAAUUUGUAUAAAGAAGACCCAUGGCUUUGGGAUUUAAAUUGGAGUGUUCAAAGUAUUAAGUUUAAAAAAGAAACUAAAAAGUCCACAAAAAAGCCAAAAAAGAAAAAACAAAAGGAAACAGCUGUUCUUGAAACACCAGUUGAAAUGGAUACUGUUAUUAUUGAAUCUGUUGAAGAAGAAGAGAAAGAAAUUGAAAGUGUAAAAAAAGCUUCAUUGACUGACAGUCUUGAUGACUCACUGAAGCAUAUUUAUGAAACUGCAUCUUCUUUAAGAAAAGUACGUCCAUUCAUGCCUGGUUAUCCAGCGUGGUAUCGAGAACUCUGUGAUAAAAAUGGCGAUAACAAUCCUGAUUGGGAACCUGGCCCGUACCAAAUUAGCACUCAGAUGAGAUGUGUGCCAAAACUUAUGCGGAUGACUUGGGAUGGUUUUCCAUUACAUUAUAAUGAAAAACAUGGCUGGGGUUAUUUAGUUCCAAAUGUAAAUGAAACGAGUUUAUCAGAGAAUCAAGCAUUCCCUUUGAUAAACUUUCUUCAUCUUCUUGAAUCAAGAUCUGUUGAUUCCAAUCCAUCUCAAAAUUUGGAUGCAUUUUGGUCAGUAAUUCAAGAACCAAAAGAAAGUAAAGAGGAACAGUCAAAAAUGUGGAAUGCUAUUCUACAAAAGCAGGAACAUGAAGCUGUGAACCAAAAAGAUGUUCAUUAUGGCAUUGGACCUCAUGAUAUUGGCAUCAACGGUUGCAUGUUUUAUAAACUUCCACACAAGGAUGGUCCCCAGAAAAGAGUUGGCAAUCCCUUGUCCAAGGAUUUUCUUACUAAAGUUGAAGACCUUACUCUGAAAACAUGGGGUAAAGGGCAAGCUAACAGAGCUCUUUUAUUGAGCAAAAUGUUGUCUUACUGGAAAAAUGCUCAUGCUCGAAUUAUGUCUCAAAUGGUAGUAUGGCUGAAUAUGGAUGAACUGCCAGAAAAUGUCAAAAAUGCAAAAGCAUUUGAUGAAGCAGAUAGUUAUGGUGCUAUUUUGCCUCGACUCAUACCUGCUGGGACUGUUACCAGACGAGCAGUUGAACCAACAUGGUUAACUGCUAGUAAUGCAUAUGAAGACAGAGUUGGCAGUGAACUUAAAUCUAUGAUUCAAGCCCCACCUGGAUAUCAUUUUGUGGGAGCUGAUGUUGAUUCACAAGAACUAUGGCUUGCUGCUAUAUUUGGUGAUUCUCAGUUCAUCAAAUUGCAUGGAUGCACAGCUUUUGGCUGGAUGACAUUGCAAGGAAAAAAAUCAGCUGGUACAGAUAUGCAUAGUAAAACAGCUACAUCUGUUGGAAUUACAAGGGACCAAGCUAAAAUAUUGAACUAUGCUCGCAUUUAUGGAGCUGGAAAAUCUUUUGCCCAACGUCUACUAAUGCAGUUCAAUCAUCGUUUGACUCCUGAAGAAGCAAAGCGAAAAGUUAAGAAAAUAUAUUCUGAAACAAAAGGAACACAAAAAUAUAUUGCUGCACCUGAUGAAGUUGAAGAAAAUCAAUAUGUUUUUACACCUGGUUCUCAAAGAAGAAUCUGGGUUGGAGUGAAUCUGAUAUGUUCAACAAAUUAGAAGAAAUAGCUCUCUCUAAAAAGCCAAAAACUCCAGCAUUGGAGUGUAGGAUCAGUAGGGCUUUGGAACCAAAAGCUGUGGAUAAAAAUUUUAUGACUAGUCGUAUCAAUUGGGUAGUACAGAGUUCUGCAGUGGAUUUUUUGCAUCUUAUGUUAGUUUGUAUGAAAUGGCUAUUCAAGGAAUUUGAAAUAGAAGGCCGUUACUCCAUCUGCAUCCAUGAUGAGGUUA
rnacentral:misc_RNA from 1 species